rnacentral:rRNA from 1 species
UGGGGAAUAUUGGACAAUGGGCGCAAGCCUGAUCCAGCCAUGCCGCGUGAGUGAUGAAGGCCCUAGGGUUGUAAAGCUCUUUCAACGGUGAAGAUAAUGACAGUAACCGUAGAAGAAGCCCCGGCUAACUUCGUGCCAGCAGCCGCGGUAAUACGAAGGGGGCUAGCGUUGUCCGGAAUUACUGGGCGUAAAGCGCACGUAGGCGGAUAUUUAAGUCAGAGGUGAAAUCCCGGAGCUCAACUUCGGAACUGCCUUUGAUACUGGGUAUCUUGAGUAUGGAAGAGGUAAGUGGAAUUGCGAGUGUAGAGGUGAAAUUCGUAGAUAUUCGCAGGAACACCAGUGGCGAAGGCGGCUUACUGGUCCAUUACUGACGCUGAGGUGCGAAAGCGUGGGGAGCAAACA